rnacentral:misc_RNA from 1 species
GAUGAAGAACGUAGCGAACGUGCGAAACGUAAUGUGAAUUGCAGAAUUCAGUGAAUCAUCGAAUCUUUGAACGCAUCUUGCGCUCCUUGGUAUUCCGAGGAGCAUGCCUGUUUGAGUGUCGUGAAUACUCUCAACUUCAACCCUUUUUUCGGAAAGGGAGGAAGGUUGGACUUGGAUGUUUGUUGAAGUGCGAGCUUCGACUCAUCCUAAAUGCAUUAGCGAUCUGCCUCGAUCACACACAAUGUGAUAAUUAAAACUAAAGCAUUGUUUAAUGAUCAAGUCGAGACUGCUUCUAACUGUCGCAAGACAAUAACGUGCAUACAUUUGUGCAUGUCAUUUGACCUCAAAUCAGGUAGGACUACCCGCUGAACUUAAGCAUAUCAAUAAGCGGAGGA